rnacentral:lncRNA from 10 species
UUUAUACCUUUAGGUUUGUGUAUUUAUGAUGUCAUAAAAAUUUCCCAGUUUGUCAUGCAAUUAGAGAAAUACACACACACACACACACACACACACACAGUUUUUUUCUUUCCGUCGAGACGGGUUCUCACUGUGUCAGCCAGGCUGGAGGGCAGAGGUGUGAUCUCGGAUCACUGCAGCCUUGACCUCCCCAGGCUCAAGUGAUCCUCCCAUCUCAGCACCCCCGAGUAGCUGGGACUACAGAGGCAUGCCACCAUGACUGGCUAAUUUUCUAUUUAUUUUUAUUUUUUAUUUUUUUUUGUACAGAUGGGAUUUUGCCAUGUUUCCCAGGCUAGUCUCGAACUUGUGGCCUCAAGUGAUCCACCUGCCCCGGCCUCCCAAAGUGCUGAGAUUACAGGUGUUAGACACCACACCCAGCCAAAAAUCAUCCUUUUGCAACCUCUUUUUGGUUCUAAGAAAGAGGGCCGGGCACGGUGGCUCAUGCCUGUAAUCCCAGAAAGAGCAUUCCCACCCCAAAACUAUAAAAGGUUAUUAAAUUUUAAAAUAUUUCUGUGGAUAUUUUUGUUCCAUUUAAAAAUACUAUCUAUUUACAGUUUCUAUUUGAAAUUUAUUUUGUAAUAGGAUGUGAGAGGGAGCUCACCUUAUUUUUUUCCUUCAAAUAUUCAGAAAAUUGUUCCGACUGAGUUAUUUCUCUCCUGUCCCCUUAACUGGCAAGCCCCCUCCAGCCAACCCGAGUGCUGCCAGUGGCUUGCCUGCCCAUUCAGGGAGAUGGUGAUGGUUUUCCUCCCUGCCCUCUUCUGAAGACGAGCGCCCUGAGAGCAGGAGUAGGAGGUGCUCAGGCAGUGUAGGGUGAGUGGCAUCGUGCGUUGAGGUAGAGUUUAGGAAACCCUUAGUGCAGGGCUUGGCACCGGCAGACCUCACUGGUGGGCAGGUAUUCCUGUGCUCGCAGAUGGAACUGAGUGAACCUGGUGAGGAUGGAUUGUCACGCAUUUGGUUCCUCCAGCUCCUUUUGUUUGAUUUAAGCAUAGUUGUUAUCGAUUCAAGGCAGCGUGGCUUGGUGGCAAGGCUUGUGUGCUCUGGUAGCCGUGAGUGCUGUGUGUGAAUCCCAGCUCUGCCUGUCAGACACCUCGGACCACAUCUGUAGGAUGGGGAUCCUGCCUGCCUUGCCCGUGGUAAGGAUUAAAGGAGCUGAUUUGCCUGAAGGGGUCUGCAUUGUACCUGACACAAUGGUGGUGGCCAUUGCUUCUUCAAUUAUGGGAACUUAUGUUAAAAAGGGAAGUAAACAUUUUAUGUAAAUAUUGAGAAAAGUACUAGGUAUCUAGGAUGAAUCAGUUACUGUAAAAGGGCACAAAGUUUUUUUUUUUUUUUUUUUUUAACUUUCCUAGCUGCUUAGCACAGAUACGAGGCAUGAGGGUGGCAGAUCAGUGUAUGUCGGCCGGGCACAGUGGCUCACACCUGUAAUCCCAGCACUUUGGGAGGCCGAGGCGGGUGGAUCACCUGAGGUCAGGAGUUUGAGACCAGCCUGGCCAACAUGGUGAAACCCCGUCCCUACUAAAAAUACAAGCAUUAGCUGGGUAUGGUGAUGCACGCCUGUAAUCCCAGCUACUCGGGAGGCUGAGGUGGGAGAAUCACUUGAACCCAGGAGGCAGAGGUUGCAGUGAGCUGAGAUCACGCCACUGCACUCCAGCCUGGGCGGCAGCGAGACUCCAUCUCAAAAAAAAAGUUUUGGUCUAUUUUUAUUGAUACGUAAUAGGUGUAUAUAUUUUCAGGGAACAUACAUGUGUUAGGUAGGUCAGAUUCUUGUAUGUUUUGGGUGAAAAAAGGAUUCAGUUUGGAGAACAAGACUCUUUCUGAAGUACAAGAGAUGUCACAUGGACCCUCAUCAGGGCGGUCAGCUGAUUUGAUGGCUGAUGUUGGUGGAGGGGCAAACUGGAAAUCACAGUCCUAGCCCUGUGGUCUGCUGCCCAGGUGCCCUGGCUGUCACCUCACCCCAUGGAGCUCCUGGCUCCUCAGCUGUGCAAUGAAGACAAGUCCAAGAGCGAGGACAUGAGAAGAGACAAGAAUGUGCUGGAAGUCUUGUACUGGAGUAAUGUUGAUGCUGGAGAAAUGUUGGCUUCUUAGUUGAAACAGGCUGGGUGCUGUGGUGCAUGCCUGGAAUCUCAGCACUUUGGGAGGCCAAGGCAGGAGGAUCACUUGAGGCCAGGAGUUUGAGACCAGCCUGGGUGACAUAGCAAGACCCCUGUCUCUACUAAAAAGGAUAAAAUAUAAAAUAAACAAACAAACAGUAAAGACUAUUUGUAAAAGGUAGAGUAAUAGCCUUCCUAUGGAUACCUUAUGGUUUUGUCCUAAAAACACUUGGGAUUGAGUCAUAAACCCAUAAGGCAUUUUUACUAAGAGUUGGUGUAACAAGAAGAUAUUCUUUUAUUCAUCUGUGUAUUCAUUCAGUCAACAGUUGCACAAAAACAGACACAGUCCUUGCUAUAUUGCAGUGCCUACAUUCUAGUGGGAGAGGCAGAUACAGAGUCGGAAUCACAAAAGAAAUCUAGAGUUGAAACCAGAAAAGGCUGUAGAGAAGAGUCAGAGAAAUGUACGCAUAAGGCAUUCUUCAUGUCUCCACUGAGAGGUGUCAGGCUUCGAGCAGCCCUGGACCAGCGUGCGGGUCUGUCUUGGUAGGGCCGGUGGUUGAGAUGCUGUGGUCUCAUCAGUUGCCCCGAUUGGGGAAUGUUUCUGUAGGAGAUAACUUACAUUUUACCAGUAUUCCUUUAAUUCCUCUUUGUCUUUAUUAUAGUAUUUUUUUUUUUUUUGAGACAGAGUUUUGCUCUUGUUGCUCAGGCAGGAGUACAAGGGUGCGAUCUCAGUUCACUGCAACCUUCACCUCCCGGGUUCAAGUGAUUCUCCUGCCUCAGCCUCCCAAAUAGCUGGGACUGCAGGUGCCUGCCACCAUGCCUGGCUAAUUUUUGUAUUUUUAGUAGAGAUGAGGUUUCACCAUGUUGGUCAGGUUGGCCUUGAACUCCUGACCUCAGGUGAUCCACCUGCCUCAGCCUCCCAAAGUGCUGAGAUUACAGGCUUGAGCCACUGUGCCUGGCCUUAUUACAGUAUUUCUAAUAUUGUUCAGUAAAGACAGAUGGUGGAUCAAAGAGGAUGUUUUUGACUUGUGAGGAAAAAUGUAUUCAUAAUUUAUGGGGAAAAGUUUUCUUCGUAAAGAUCACAGGGGUGGCUUUCAGGACCAUUUCUCAAAGAGAUAAUGGUGGUUGCAGUUUCAGGUUGAACCACAAACAUUUAUUUUAAAAAACCCCAACAGGAAAUUCCGUGUUGAUGGUUAGUCAUCUGCGGGAGCUUAGGUGUUUGUUUAUAGUCAGUCCUAGACUGUACGGGUGUGUCAUGCUCUUCCUGUGCACGCUGUAUUGCUCACUAAAAUAAGGUUAACAUAUUUUCAGGCUAUUACUCAUUAAACCAAAAGAGGGGAGCAAGUGGUUUAGGGAUGAUCAUCAGUCUGAUCUGGAGGCGCAGGCUGCCUGUGUCGGCCUCAGCGCAGCGUUCCAGUCUUCCCUGGGGGAGUUCUCCCUGCUGUCCUUGCCCAGCACCUUCUACAGCCCCUGCCUUUGGGGUGACUGCUCCCCUGCUCACGUUGCCUCCCAUGGCCCAUUCUUUUGGUGUUGCCAAGAACCAGGCUGAGACAGGUUGGAAAUGCUCCAAUAAUUUCUACUCAGGGAGAACAGAAACG